rnacentral:rRNA from 1 species
UUCCUGUACUUGGUGUUACUGCGAAGGGGGGACGGAGAAGGCUAUGUUGGCCGGGCGACGGUUGUCCCGGUUUAAGCGUGUAGGCUGGUUUUCCAGGCAAAUCCGGAAAAUCAAGGCUGAGGCGUGAUGACGAGGCACUACGGUGCUGAAGCAACAAAUGCCCUGCUUCCAGGAAAAGCCUCUAAGCAUCAGGUAACAUCAAAUCGUACCCCAAACCGACACAGGUGGUCAGGUAGAGAAUACCAAGGCGCUUGAGAGAACUCGGGUGAAGGAACUAGGCAAAAUGGCACCGUAACUUCGGGAGAAGGUGCGCCGGCGAGGGUGAAGGACUUGCUCCGUAAGCCCAUGCCGGUCGAAGAUACCAGGCCGCUGCGACUGUUUAUUAAAAACACAGCACUCUGCAAACACGAAAGUGGACGUAUAGGGUGUGAUGCCUGCCCGGUGCUGGAAGGUUAAUUGAUGGGGUUAGCGUAAGCGAAGCUCUUGAUCGAAGCCCCAGUAAACGGCGGCCGUAACAAUAACGGUCCUAAGGUAGCGAAAUUCCUUGUCGGGUAAGUUCCGACCUGCACGAAUGGCGUAAUGAUGGCCAGGCUGUCUCCACCCGAGACUCAGUGAAAUUGAAUUUGCUGUGAAGAUGCAGUAUACCCGCGGCAAGACGGAAAGACCCCGUGAACCUUUACUAUAGCUUGACACUGAAUUUUGAAUGUUAAUGUGUAGGAUAGGUGGGAGGCUAAGAAGUAUUAGCGCUAGUUAAUAUGGAGCCAUCCUUGAAAUACCACCCUUUGAUAUUUAAUAUUCUAACUUAAAUCCGUAAUCCGGAUUGAGAACAGUGUCUGGUGGGUAGUUUGACUGGGGCGGUCUCCUCCUAAAGAGUAACGGAGGAGUACUAAGGUCAGCUAAUUACGGUUGGAAAUCGUAAGCUUAGUGCAAAGGCAUAAGCUGGCUUGACUGCGAGAGUGACAGCUCGAGCAGGUGCGAAAGCAGGUCUUAGUGAUCCGGUGGUUCUGAAUGGAAGGGCCAUCGCUCAACGAAUAAAAGGUACUCCGGGGAUAACAGGCUGAUACCGCCCAAGAGUUCAUAUCGACGGCGGUGUUUGGCACCUCGAUGUCGGCUCAUCACAUCCUGGGGCUGAAGCAGGUCCCAAGGGUAUGGCUGUUCGCCAUUUAAAGUGGUACGCGAGCUGGGUUUAGAACGUCGUGAGACAGUUCGGUCCCUAUCUGCCGUGGGCGUUGGAGAAUUGAGGGGGGUUGUUCCUAGUACGAGAGGACCGGAAUGAACGCACCACUGGUGUUCGGGUUAUCAUGCCAAUGGUAUUGCCCGGUAGCUAAGUGCGGAAAAGAUAAGUGCUGAAAGCAUCUAAGCACGAAACUUGCCCCAAGAUGAGUUCUCCCUGAGGCCUUCGAGCCUCCUAAAGGAAUGUUGAAGACUACGACGUUGAUAGGCUAAAUGUAUAAGCAUAGUAAUAUGUUAAGCUAAUUAGUACUAAUGAUCCGUGAGGCUUAAUCUC